CCUACGGGUGGCAGCAGUGGGGAAUAUUGCACAAUGGGCGAAAGCCUGAUGCAGCAACGCCGCGUGAAGGAAGACGGUUUUCGGAUUGUAAACUUCUAUCAAUAGGGAAGAAAGAAAUGACGGUACCUAAAUAAGAAGCCCCGGCUAACUACGUGCCAGCAGCCGCGGUAAUACGUAGGGGGCAAGCGUUAUCCGGAUUUAUUGGGUUUAAAGGGUGCGUAGGCGGAAGGUUAAGUCAGCGGUCAAAUGUCGGUGCUCAACACCGGCCUGCCGUUGAAACUGGUCUUCUUGAGUGAGCGAGAAGUAUGCGGAAUGCGUGGUGUAGCGGUGAAAUGCAUAGAUAUCACGCAGAACUCCGAUUGCGAAGGCAGCAUACCGGCGCUCAACUGACGCUGAGGCACGAAAGCGUGGGGAUCGAACAGGAUUAGAUACCCGGGUAGUC
rnacentral:rRNA from 1 species